CUUAGCAACCGGGGCCACCUCCUUGUAGAGACCGGACAACUCCCCAGAUAGGGAAAAACUCUGAACAUAAUUUUACUUUAGAAGUUCUGGAAUGUAGUUAAUGGGUGUUAGGUGUUUUGUUUUGUUUUGUUUUUUUUUAAUAUUUAGCCUAGCAGGCCUCCUUUUUAAUACCUGGGCCAACUUUGUAGACUCUUGCACUUUAAAUACAUGAGUCAGGAGGUUUUGUGGAAAGACGCUGCAGUAGAAAUUCGUGCUUCUGUGAUCCGUAGAGUAACGUGCUGGUUCGUCAAUGAAGCAAGCUGAAGUGAUGAAGAUGUAAGGAAAGCAUCCUACGCUAACACUGUCGCAGUCGGAAAGGUAAGGUCCUUGCCACGAGACUGGGAAAUGCUGAUGUUCUCUCGAGGUCUGCAGGAUGCUAUGCCCCCGUGCUACCCAUCCGAGGGUAAAUCAACCCCAUUGACAGGCUAGUCCGUCUAUUGUGUCAGGUUGUGUCUGUGAGAGUUUAGUUUAUAGCUGACAAUACGGUCUACACAAAGGUCUGAUGUUUUCCUUGUCUUGUCUUUUAAAAUGUAAAGCGGUAUUAAAAAAAAUAAUCAGUAGGGUUUCACUAUGUAGCCUGUCUCACUGUACAGUCUUGGCUGGCUUGGAACUUCCUAUGUAGAUCAGGCUGGCCUCAAACUCACGGACAGGCAGGACAGGUGUGCAUCACUGUGGUGCCUGGCACCAAAGCAUUUGGAAUGCUCUCCGAGUGUCUUCUUUUGUGGCGUGUACUGAUGGGUAGAAGUCACUGCGUGGGGGUGGCAGGGGCCAUGAGGCUCUUGGCGAGGCCGUGCCCUCAUUGCACUGAUGCGUUAUGCUGACCUGUAAGAUGUGGUUGGCAAGGUCUGCCUGUUUCUGAAUUCUGUAUUUUGGUAGAAUACAGAGUACAAAGUAUUACCAUUCUGUGCAUCUCGUCCCGCGCUUACAGCAGGCACGGCUCUCUGACUCCAGCUGCUAUAAACUUACGGACGCAUUAUCUAUUGAAUGCUCUGUUAUUUCCAUAAGCAAAGGUUGAGUUUAUUUCACUUCGUUUUUCAAAGGAAAACCAUAGAUGUCAUAGGUCUCAUCCAUUACUUUGCUGGUGUUAGGGGCAUGGUGCCUUCACUUGGUCCUGUGAACCACACAGUGAUGGUUGUCCCUGGAGGCUCUCAUGGAUGGCUUGGGGACUUGUUUCUUUCAGUCUUCCCACAUAGGUAGACCCGAGGCAGGGUGAACACCUACUGCCCCCUUCAGGUAGAAGCAGCAACAGAAUCUCUGCAGCUGAGUCCCUACUGAGCACCGCAGGAGGCCUAAUGUAGGAGUGCUUCUGCAGAAAGGAAUGCCCACUCUGUCCCCGGUCUCUAAGGUGCUUGCUUCCGAGCCUGCUGAGCGUGGCAGACUUCAGAAGAUAAUCAACAGGUUUUGGCUUCAGUGUGAAAAUAGCACUUUCAAACUGAAAUUCCUUUCACAAAGGACCAGAAUUUGUUUCAUUCACAAACUGGCAGUGUUUCAGAGGUGGGAAAAUAGGUUUCAGUUCUUAAAAGCAGAUAGGAAUGAGGGUAGCCUUAGCUUUGUUUUCUCAGGUCAAAUUCCUAAAAGGGAGUUCUGACCCCAGACCCUUUGGUCCCAUGAGCCUGAGGUAUGAUAUUGUUGCUAGGUGUAGUAUCCUUUUUUACUUCAAUUUUUUUCUUUUACACUUUAAGUCUGAAAUUAUAGCUAUUGUUUUUAGAAAGCUCAAGUGUGCUUUAAUUUAAAUUCAUGUUUGCUGUGCUCCUACGAAAAAAGGACUAAUUAUUUGCACAUUAAAAGUAGGCUGGCUUUUACAAAGUAUUUACCACAAGAUUGCUUUCAGUAGCAGUUCUCUUAGAGAGUUUGAAAUCUGAAAAUUUGAGAAAACAUCAGAGGUUCCUCAGCAGACUUUGGGCAACAGAUCCGUUUAAUGGGAGGCAGGUAAGAGGGUAGGAAUCAUGGAAAGAGGUCUUUAGUCAAUUGCAUGGUGUGUGUGUGUGUGUGUGUGUGUGUGUGUGUGUGUGUGUGUGUAUGUGUAUUAAUGGAUUCACCAUGCUUGGUGUCUGUUGACAAUCUUCUUCAUUUUCCUCCUACCAUAUUUUUAAGACAGGGACCCUCUUGCCUCCAUGUCCCCAUGACUAAGGUUUCAUGCACCUGAUGUUUUACAUUUGCGCCAGUGACUCAAACUCAAGUCUUCACGCUUGGGCACCCAUCAUCUUCCUACACCGAACCGUCUUCCCCAUCCAGGAAUUAUAUUUAGAAAAUCGUUUACUUUUGUGAAGUUUUCCAGAGAAAGACACCUUUAUUGUUGCCAGAGUGCAUCAGAGAAAAAGAAGAAAGAAAAAAAGAAAAAGAAAAAAAACCCACCAAGAAAUCAGGCCAGCUCGAGCUUGGGAAAGAUAAAUAAAAUCUAUUUGUUUGGUGGGUAGCAUUCUGCAUUAUGCAUGGACGUAAAAGUGAGGUUUGCUUUGAUCCUGUCUAUUAAAAGUUUAUUUUUAAACUCAGACUGGGCAGGAAUCCAGCAAUGCUCUUUGUCCUGCAACACAUCCUGGGCUUUGGGUCCCCAGCCUGGCAGAAGUGUGGCUAAGCAGGAGGAAGUAGGGAGCCAAUGGUGUGGAUGGUUGAUGGGUGCUCCAGGGGGGGGGGUUCCCUCCCUUUCCUCCCCUCCAGUUUUGAAAUUCAAAUUGAAUGCAAUUUUCAGCUCAUUUGAGCCAGAGUAUAGUGUUGCUGAGCUUCAGUGGUUCUUAAAUUCAAAACUCAUGGGAGGAAACAGAUAUCAUCUGUCACUGGGGUGGGAGCGAGGAGACUACACACUUUAUUCAGAGGAGGCAGACCCCUAGUCACUAAUUCCGACCUUCCGAGGACUAAUCAUUCACCAACCAACUGAUCAAGUAAUCAAUGAGACCUUCAAGCCACCCAGCUCCUGAAGUCUGGGAGUGGCUGCCCUGCUCUCCCCAGCUCUUAAGAAUAAUUGCUGGUCUAUUUUUGUAUCAUUGAUAUUUUAAUACCUUUCGUGGCAAGCUGAGACAGAAUAUCUUGGCAGUCUUUUUUUUUUUCCCUGCCCUUCCUGGCUGUUGGCUGUUUUUAUUGUUUCCAUCUUUAGUGACUUUGUCAAUGUUGCUUCCUUAUGACUGAGAAUUAGCAGACGGCUUGAGGCCGGCUCUGCAGGGACAAACUUUGAGCUACAUUUUACCAAAUAGACGGUUGGGGAAAAAAAAUACGCGUGUUUCUCAGGGCAAGCUUGAGUGCCAAUUAAAAUGGGAAGACCCACUCACGGGGUACUGGAGCCUGAGAGUGUGGCUUAUCUGCAGCGUGGAUGUUUCAGAGACCCUUGAGAAUGGCUCUCUGUGAAUUUCUGACACACCGGAUAUGUGCCCUGGGAAUACAAAUGGAUUUCAGCAAUGAUGACUUGUCGUCCUUCCUCUGAUUUCAGUCAUGAUGCGGGAUGGCGGCCCUGAUCCUGAUAUGUGUGUUACAAGCUUUGACCCUAGUGCUUAGCUUUGCACAUUUAGUGUGAGCCAAAAUUUCCAAGGGACGAUGGAAACUGUUAAUUAGUUCUUCUUAGGCAAAAUUUUUCCCAAAACUCCAUGGAAAUUUUUAUGAUAAAUUAGUUCUCAAUAUAUGGCCAUAACACUUAGAAAUGCAAAAUGUACACAAUAAGACUAUGAUCUGGCCGGAUACAUACUUGUGUGUGUGUGUGUGUAUGUGUGUGUGUGUGUGUGUGUGUGUGUGUGUGUGUGUGUGUGUGUG
ensembl:lncRNA